AGAGUUUGAUCCUGGCUCAGAACGAACGCUGGCGGCGUGGAUAAGACAUGCAAGUCGGACGGGAUGUCAUUUGUAGCAAUACCGAUGAUGUUCAGUGGCGCAAGGGUGCGUAACACGUGGGGAAUCUGCCGAGAAGUGGGGGAUAGCUCGUCGAAAGGCGAAUUAAUACCGCAUGUGGUUAGGGAAGACAUCUUUCCGACACCAAAGCCGGGGCAACCUGGCGCUUCUUGAUGACCCCGCGGCCUAUCAGCUAGUUGGUGAGGUAACGGCUCACCAAGGCGAUGACGGGUAGCUGGUCUGAGAGGACGACCAGCCGCACUGGAACUGAGACACGGUCCAGACACCUACGGGUGGCAGCAGUCGAGAAUUUUUCUCAAUGGGCGCAAGCCUGAAGGAGCGACGCCGCGUGGAGGAUGAAGGUCUUCGGAUUGUAAACUCCUGUCAUUAGGGAACAAAGUCCCCGGUUAACUGCCGGCGGGCCUGAUAGUACCUAAGAGGAAGAGACA
rnacentral:rRNA from 1 species